UUGACCCCUGGCCUAGGAACCUCCAUGUGCUGUGGGUGUGGCCCUAAAAGAAAAAAAAAUCACAAAUUCUGAAAAGCUGACAGGCAGAUAUCACAUAAACUUGAUCAAUCAGAGUUUAAACAUCUCCAUCUUCUUUACUGCUCAAGUUGAAUUUAGAAAAGAGAAGAAAAAGCAGAGUGUGGAAACCAGUACCUUAUAUAUAAUUCCUUAAAAAUCAGAGAGAAAAUGUAGUGCAGAGCUCAGGGAAAGUAACUUAAAAUAACUAAAGGUAGUAUGAUGAGUAGGAAGUGUACGGAGUUUCAAGUCAGAAACCUGAUUUAAGCACUAGCUCCACUACUUAACCAUAGGUGGCCUGGGAGGACAAGGGUGAGGCUAUAAAUUCAUUAGCCUUUGUUAAUUGUGAAUAAUAUGGCCAGAGGAAUUUUCCAACUUUUUAUAAGAUCGUGCUAAUUAUUAGCAAAUUAUAGUUUUUUUUAGUUCAUAGCAUUCAUGAUGUGAAAUCUGCAAAAUUAGUAGUGAAAAUGCAUAGAAAAUACAUCUUUGUAGUGUCAGCCUUAGUUAGGGUUCACUAAGAAGCUUUUCCUUGUAGCUUUUAUUAUUUAUAAUACUGACUCCUUCCCCCCACUCUAACUCCUAAGCACACUGUACCCACAGAAAAUAUUGUGUUUGUUGGCUUAAAUACUUCUUAAUUCUUUCCUAUUUAUUUUGGUCAUCACUGUGACUAUAAUUUAAAAAGCAUGCUACUUUCACAAUACAAAAAUGAAUUGAGGCUAUUCCAGCUGUUAUUCCAAAGGCUUAGGAAUCCUUAGAGACUUAAAGCCUCUAAUGCUGUUUGCAUUAAUUUUUAAUCAGUUAACAAUAUUUAAUAUGAGAGAAACCUAAAAUGGUGCAACUAAGCAAUUUUAAAAUCAUCUAUGUUGACCUUUGGGUUGAAUAUAUCAAUCUGAAAGAGAAUGCAUAGAUGGUUUAGAUUUUUCAGCUAAGCUUUUAGUUUUACAGUUACAGAGUUUAAAACAUUAUUAUUCUCUUUUCUUCCUUCAACUAAAAAGAAAUCCCUUUGGGACAUGCUUAAUAUAUUUAAACAAUGCAUAUUAUCUAAAGCAACACCUUUAAAAAGAGCAAAUUGGAAAAAAAACUUAAUCUGUUAACUAUUCAUUAACAUCAUACCAUAAUUCCAGGGUUAUAGAAUUUAGUUUCUAUUUAACUUAAAGUUCUAGGAAGAUCUGUCAAAGUGACUUUUUUUUUUUUCUCUCCCUAUUUCCCAUUUUCUCUGAAUAAUAUGAGUACCAUGCACAAUUUCUGAUAGAAAUUGCUUAUUUGAAUGCCACAUAAACAUGUGUUGCCCCAAGUAAGGGUUAUACAGAGAUAGAUGAAUGUCCUGGUCCAAAAAGAUAGUAUUUUCCAUCUUCAAAGGAAGUUAAGAGGAAUAUCCUUGGCAAAUCUGUAAUGAAUAAAGUCCUGCUUCUCUCUGUACAAGUUAUGCUCUCUAAACAUCAAACAUCUCCCCAUCUCCGUGCCCGAAGUCAAGCCGUCAAAGGCGCAUGGAAUUUAUGAUUUUGAGAGAACCUUUGGUAUGUAAAUGAUCUAUUUCCCCAUAAACCACAGAGUCCGGCUUACUUAUGAAAUACUUAAAUAUUACAUUUAAAUAUAUAUUGUUAAGAUAUUUUCUAACAUGGUUUCUAUGGUAGGGGCUGGGGUAUGUGGUCUUUCCUUAAAUGUUAGAGUCAUGGGAGUUCCCAUUGUGGCUCAGUGGUAACGAAUCAACUAGUAUCCAUGAGGAUGUGGGUUGAUCACUGGCCUCACUCAGUGGGUUAAGGAUCUGGCAUUGCAGUGAGCUGUGGUGUAGGCUGGCAGCUGCAUCUCUGAUUUGACGCCUAGCCUGGGAACUUCAGUAUGCAGUGGAUGCAGCCCUAAAAAGAAGGAGGAAAAAUAAAAGAAAAAAAAUGUUAAAGAUACAAUCUCUUAACCUAGAAGAACAAAGAUAAUUAUUGUUCAGCAACCUGCCUUUUAUAGGGGAAACUUGGUUUUAUUCAGACAGUAUGAGGCUAGAACUCACUGUGGUAGACUGUUUUUAUACUUGCUACUCAUUUGUUGCAUCAUUCUCCUCUCAUGACACAGGUAACUGAAAAGUUGAGGAAAUGUAAGAGCUUAUAAUAUUUAAACAUUUGUUUUAAAAAUGUUCAAGGGCAUUGGUGAGCUUGUGGAUGUGAAAGAAUCAGUUUCCACUUAUUUAUACUACUUUCAAAAUACAUUUUUUUAUUUUUAUUUUUUUAUAAAAAUGCAUUUUUAGAAAGUAUUCCCUGGAAAAUUUAUUGUGGCCACUUAAAAUAAAAUCAUCAUGUGAUUAAGAUAAUUUUCUGUCUGUGGUAGACAUUUGAUACAAUGUCAAGACAAAAAUGGUAAAUAUGAAGUGACACUCUGACAUUUGGUACUAGAGCUAUUAUUUUUGUCUGUUGUUAUUCUUAUUUAACCUAUGUAUAAUUGCCUGGAGGAAAAAGAGUGUACUAUAAAAUCUGUACCUUCCCAUAGUAUGGUAGGACACUAAGCUUGUGAAUUUAAAUCUGCAGACGUGUUAGGUAUUGUAUGUAAAGAAAAGUAAACAAACAAAAUACAUUCAUUUGAAAUGAAACAAAAUUUUAGACUCUAUGGUAUUAAUUACCAACCUAUAAGUAGAUUUAUGAAGCAGCAGUAGGUCAUGCCAAAGGUUCUCGGUUGUCGUUGAUAUUUUAGCACCUAUUACAUAUCAGGCUGAAUGCCAGACAGUGGGGGCAUGCAGAAGAAUAAUACAAGCGCCCUGACUCUAAUAGAGUAGAUUAAAAAAACAUUCAGGAAAGAAAAAAAAAAUGGUAAUGAGAAUGAAGACUGGACAGAUUUAAAAACAUGACUUUAGUUUGGAUUUCUGAAUGAUGAGGGUUUGAUUUACUUGAACCAAGUCAUGUUAUUGUCCAUAUAUCUUAUAAUUAGUGAGCACACAUUGAAACUUGCUGAAAAUAAAUUUAGAAGAAUAGAAAGUGUCCUCUCUUGACUCUGAUCAUUUGUAGUGCACAUGCCAUUGUUGGGCAGGUGAAAUGGCUGGCCAGGGGUAAGGAGAUCAAGAGUAAAUUAAUCAGUAGAGAUGAAGAGAAAAGAAAUGAAUAGUAGGAGAGAAUUAGUGGUCUGUGGGAUGAAGCCUUAGGAUGACCAAGGUACAGAGUUGCCUGCUGAGAAAUUUGGUUAAAAAAUCCUCUACUUUUGUUAAGGUACCCUAAAGCUAUAAUAUUGACUUAUUUUCAACUAGCUUUUUGUUGUUGUUGUGAUGAUUCCCAGUUUUCCCCUCCCAUUUAAGUGUUCUCCCACUGAUCGUAUUUCCAUUGCUGCUUUUGAUCAUCAAACACUCUAUCUUGAGCUUAGUUUGUACUUAUGGAGCACUAUUUCCAGUUCAUUAAGAAAUAAUUAGAUAAUACUAACUGUGAGACGGGCACUCACUAAAUAGGUUUCUUCAGGUUAAUACUGAGAAGUCAGCUGUUAAGAAUUAGUUCUAUGGUCAGUGUUGUAGGUACUAUGAGAACUAGUGUUAUUAGGCCAGUGGUCUUGUCACGAUGUCGUAUAAAGUCAGUGAAUUAAACACUGAAGCAAUGUGAGGGAGUUUUAAAGAUGAUAAGGAAAGGCCUUUAUCAAGAAAAGGAUGAAGAGACAUGUUCCUUAGUGCAAGGUUUGGAAGAUGUGACAAGGAAUCUUUAAUUUAGAUGUGACUAGAUUAAAACAGGAAGUUACCAGAACUCUCUAGAGACUUUGUAGUGACCAUGAGAGUUAUAUCAGAAAUGGUAGUUUUGAAAGUUAACAGAAUAUUUUGGCUAUCUCUUGAAUUAAGUAGGCAGGUUUAACUAUUCAGUUUCUGUCCAGUCUCUGGAUUUGGGAUGUUGUGUAGGUCUUGGCUAGAAUGACUCUAUCAUGAGUCCCUAUCUUUGACUGACAGGCUCUUAGUACCCAGGUGUUUUGUAACAGGAUAUCUUAGUCCCAUCACUGUCAUUCACCUGUAGAUGCAGAGAGGCCAAACUUCUGAUAUCCUGAAAUGUAUUCAUUUAUUUAAUAAGUAUGUACUUGCACAUACUUGAGGUAUUUGCUUUUGCCAAUAACUUUUUUAGGUCUGAGGAUGAAAUGUGGAAUAUAUUUAAGCCUGACCCUCAAGAAAAGAUGAAAUAUUUGUGUAAAUAACUAUAUGAGACAAGGUUGACAGUUCUAAGUUGCCUAAAUGAAGUAUAGAUAAAAUUGUAGAUAUAAACAUUUUGAUACAUUUUUUUGGUUUCUUUUCAUUCAGACUUGAAGUAGACAACAUUUGCAUAUAUAAAACAAUAAGAGAUAAAUUAAUAUAUAACAAAUAAACAAAUCAGGGUUAUGAAAUAUGAUUUUCAUGGAAAUCUGAGAAGCAGGAGAAUAGAUGGGCUUGGUUGCCCAAGGACUAUUAAAAAGGAGUAGAACUUAAAACUUAGUAGGAUAUUUCUGAAUGAAAGGCAAGAACAUUAAAGAGAAGCAAAUAAUUGAAUUUUUUACUGACAGCCCUAGAUCCAAGAAGUUCCAGGUUAAUUUAUUUAACAAACAAUUUUUUGAUAUAUUUUCAUUAAAUUACUAUCUUGACCUCAUGCUCUAUGCCAGAGAAUCAAAUCUGGAGAAGACAAGCUCUACUGGCAUUUGGGGGCAGGAAAAGUCUUUCCCAGACAUUGCAGGAUAAUUAGCAUAUAAUAGCAUCCCUCACCAUAAUUUGCACAAACAAUCUCAACCCUCUUCUUAUAGAGAUGCUAAACUACACCUCAGUUAACAUCCACUAUAAACUAAGACAAAGGUGCUAAUGGUUGUGAAAGAGGUAGGAUCAAAGUACUCAAUUUAUGAGAAACCCCUUGCUUGGUUAUCUUCCAGUUUUAUACAGAAGAUUCUUUUUAGAUCAAUAUAGGAGAUUUGGAUUGGUAGGCAGAUUUUUUAUUUAGUGUACUUUAUUCAGUUACCAACUAAGAGUUAUUAUACUAAAGAUAACCGUCUAGUUCAAUGAUUAGAAAGUUAUUUGGGAUAGAAUAAAAUCCUUACUGAAAAUGAAUUAUGUUUGGUUGCCUUGAUUUGCUAUUUAUAAUUCUAUGGUGGAAAAACAAAAACACGAUAAUUUUAAAGAAGCAUAGGGCAAAGAGAUUUGCAAUCUAAAGGCAAUAACAAUUUCCCCUUGAGAAAAAUCAGUGAAAGGUGAUGGCUUAUUUUCUUUGUCCUUGAGCUAAUGAGUUGAGAAGUGACAGCAUAAUUUGAGGAGAGGCACAGGUGGAAGCAGCUCUGAUGGGUAAACUGAAAGUCAGUACUUUGACUCAUAUAGUUUUACAGAAGCUAAAUAAUAAACUUGAAUGGGGAUUACAUUUCUUUACCUGAUAGUCACCCUACAUUACAUUGUGGCGUGUUGAAUUCUAUAAGACCUCCAGUGCUUUUUAAAUCCUGUGCUACACUACCAAAAUGACAAAUGUGUUUUCUGAUCAUGUAGGAACUCCCUUAAAAUUAAGAGGUUACAUAACACUGAUCUAGAAACCAAAAUGCGCAAGAACACUGUCUGUCGGUGAAUAAACGAUUAAAUAGCUGUGGCAAUUUUUGAAUAAUCCUGUUCCGCUUGGUUUUCAAAAGACCAGCCAUUCAGUGUUAAAUGAAAUAAAGUGAGUCAUCACAGUUGUUUUUUUAAUGUUUUCUUUAAAAUUGUUUUAUAAAACAUAGACACUAAUUUGCAUAAAUCUUAUAUGUUUAUAAAACAUUUACUAAACAUUACUGGAGCUGACAUCCACAAAACCAACACCCAGACCAGGAAACAAUACUUCUAUCAACUCUGAAGCAUAUUCCCAUCUGCUCACUAAUAGACUGACUCUCACUGGCUUUGCAUCCCAGUCAAGACUUCUAUUUCUCCAGCCCUUCUCCCACAAGGAAAAACUCUUCUGACUCUUACAGUGUUUUGCUUUAUAGUUUUAUAACUUCCACAUCUAUAAACAAUACAGUUUAGUUCUGCCACAUUUGUUACUUGCAUAAAUGAAACCACACAGCAUGUAUUAUUAUAUGUCUUGCUGGGUUAAUUCAGCACUGUUUGUGUGACUCAACUGUUUUGUUGUAUGUAACUGUUCUUUAUGUUAUUCCUUUUUCAGCAUGGUAUUCCACUGUCUGAAUGUCAGAAGUUAUUUAUCCAUUGGAAUUUUUUUAAUUGGGGGCUAUUAUGAGCAAUACUACUCUGAUAAUUUUUCUUCUUUUUAGUUUUGAUAGUCUAUGGUUCUACCGUCAAUAUCUAUUUCAUGGCAUUGUGCUCUGUAGUAAAAAGGGGACUCAGGCAUGAAAAUACCUUGUUCCCUCAUAUUGGGUAGUAUAUAUGUUAUAUAUAAAUUAUCAAAUUCACUCAUUAUAUAAUUGAAAAACAUGGAGAAGUUUGGCCUCAGUGGCUGUCUACUGGAAAUGCCCCAGCUUGUUUUUCAGAAGAAAUUAACCUAGCUCCAUGAGAUACAUAUGUAAGAUGCAUAUUUGGUGGAACAGACUAGAACAAAUAGAACAUGAGGACGUCUCAGACAUAAAGAAGUAAUCUGCCAGUGUAUCUACAACUGUAUAAGCAGCAAACAAAAAUUUACAUUUAGACCUCCAUAACUGAGCAUAAAAAAUAGACUAUUUAACAAAUACUUACUAUCAUGGCUUUUCAUUAUCAAUCAUUGUGCUUGGAGCUGGGCCGGUAAUAGAAAAAUAGUCCCUGUUUUCAUAGAGUUUAUGCUGAUGUAGAAAACAUCUAUCUGAUGACUAGGAUGCUCAUCCUUACCAGAUUAUACAUGUUGAUCUCCUUGCUGGCACUGGGGAGUAUGACCAGAUUCUUACCGUCGGUCUCCUCUUCUCUAGGAUUCCCAGUACUUCCUUCCUAUUCAGUGGACACAAGCUUGAAUUAGACUUUAAUGGCAUUUGUUAGAGUAUUGCUAUUGUUCACAUUCAGACAAGACUUAAAUUUCUAGUUCUACUCUUUCUGCUUUUAUUUUUUUAAUUUAAUUUUUUUUUUUUUUUUUGGCUUUUUGUCUUUUAGGGCCGAACCCACGGCAUAUGGAGAUUCCCAGGCUAUGGGUCAAAUCAGAGUUGUAGCCUCUGGCCUAUCCUAGAGCUACAGCAACGUGGGAUCUGAGCCACAUCUGCAACCUACACCACAGCUCAUGGCAACGCCAGAUCCUUAACCCACUGAGCAAGGCCAGGGAUUGAACCCGCAACCUCACGAACACUAGUCGGGUUCGUUAAUCACUGAGCCAUGACGGGAAUUCCUACUCUUUCUGCUUUUAGAUUAGGACUUUAAAAGACUGCUUCAGAAAUUUAAUUUUAUCCAUUUCAUGUUCAUUGUGUCAGCUGAAACCUUAAAAAUGAUAUUUCCAGCUUAAUGAAACUUAGAUUUUAUAGGUAUAAAAAGCCAAACGCUGCCUCAGUGGUUGAGAAAAGAAGGAUUAAGAGAGACUGUAUGGCUUCCUAACUAUUGCUGUAUCACCUCUAAAAAUGAAAGUGAGAGUAAUAAUUAUAAAGUAAUAAUGACAAUUCUGCCUGUGAAAAAUUAUGAAGGGUAUGAGAGGUAAUUCUUCUCUGUUUUCAACUAAAUUUUCAGUUUCAGUUUAUUCAAAUCACAAUUUUAGAAUGGUUAUAAGCUUCAUGGACAUAACUUUGGAAAAAUUCCAGAUGAGUUGCAGUAUCCUAAAGCAGUGGUUCUCAAAGUGUGGUCACUAGGCCAGUAGCAUCAGCAUCAUCUAAGAACUCAUUAGAAAAGCCUACCUUUCUAAUUAGUUUACUAAUUAGUAUACCUCCCAGAUUUUCUGAAUCAUAAACUCUGAGAGCAGGGCCUUUGCAAUCUGUGUUCUAAUAAUCCUUUCAGAUGAUCCUGACACUUGCUAAAGCUUGAGAACUACUCUCCUAGUUAAUCACAUAUAGACUUUUAAACAAGUUCCUCCCUCCUUCCGGUUAUGUUACAAAUAAAUAUCUAAAUCAUGUACAUAGUAUAGAGGCUUAAAAUUAAUACUCCAUAGUUGAAGAUUCUUUUAUGAUAAGUUUAUGUACAUGUGCAAUAAUAAGAUUCUUUUCAUGGACUGUAGAAAUCUGAAGAAUGGAAAUGGAGAAAAAAAAAAAAUUGAAGAAAGAGCUACUUCCCUGGAAGAGAGUGAAGAUGGAAGAAGAGGUAAUGAACGAAAGAGUGGGGGAACCUGUAGAAGCCAGAAGGGCAAGGAGAGGAAUCCUUCCCUAGAGCCUUCAGAAAGGAAUGUAGCCCAGCAGACACCUGGAUUUUAGCCUUUGAAGACUCAUGAUGGACUGCUGAGCCACAGAACCUUAAGAUAAUAAAUUUGUGUUAUUUUAAGCCACUGAGUUGUGGUAAUUUAUUAUGGCAGCAGUAGAAACCUAAUAUUCCGGUGUUUAUCUGAUUACUUUAACUCUCUUAUGCACUGAGAAAAAUUUUCAGAGGGCUCAUAUAAAAUUGACAUAGAAUAACUACAAAUGUUUUCCACUGAAAAUUUUUAUAAAAGUCACUUUUUAAGUUUUAGAUAGGUCUCCCUUUUGUAUAAGAAAUCUGAGGCUCAAAAGGAGCCCUCUUUUCAAGGUUACAGAGCUCAUUAUUGGGUAAUUAAUAAUAGAUUAAUGACUAACUGGGUUAUUCUUUCUGUAGAAAUAUAUCCUGACUUUCCUUCCAAUAAAUGGAGUUUUCUAGUAAGUAGUAUUUCCCCUCUAGUAAUCAGCAAAUUUAGAGGGGCACUUCAUUUUGCUUCAUAUUUUUCAGAAAUGGGUAAUUGAAAAUCUUAGGAAAUAGGGUUAUAAUUUGUGCAAUAUUUAUUUCUUCUUAAUAUCUCUAUAAUUAGUUUUCUUCCAUUCAAUUCUAUGACCAUUUCUGAAACCUGAACUGUGACUUGUUCUAUAAUAAAUAGCAUUUGCAUAUCUGUAUAUAUAGUGGGCUAAACAUAGUAUGUAAUACCUAUUGUCUACAACGCCUUGAAAAUCAUAAAGUGAAUUUCUUUUAAAAGUUCUCUUUGUUCUUAAACAAGGACAUUUUGCCCUUCUUGGGAAUGGGUAUCCUUCACCUUUUCAGGUUUGCACUCACCAGGAAGCUAUGUACAUUUUCUGCUGGAAUAGGAUUUCUGCCUAUUAAUAGAAAGCUGACACUGCUACAGUUAAAAAAAAUCAGGUCAGAGAUUAAUUUCAUGGAAACCACAGUCAUGUCAGCUAAACAUGAUCUGUUUGAGGUAGGUAAAAGAUGUGGGUUCACUCUGCUUGCAAUUCAAACUAAAAUAAAUAUGUCUUCCAUUUCUAUGUGGAUUUUGAAACUUUCCUUCUUUCAAGACUUCUGAAGUAUCCUUGCAUAAAUUCUGCAGGUUUUAAGCUACUGAUGCAAUUUUUGUGCUUCAACAUCUUUUAAAUAUAACCCAUUAAAGAAAAAAGGAAAUCAGAUAGUGGGAUUGAAGAAGAUAUGGCAAGUGAGGUUACUUAAAACUGUUGAAGUAAACGGUAUUCCCGUUGUGGUUCAGUGGUAACAAACCUGACUAGUAUUCGUGAGGAUGCAAGUUUGAUCCCUGGCCCCAUCAAGUGGAUUAAGGUCUGGCAUUGCUGUGAGCUGUGGCGUAGGUCACCGGCACGACUUGGAUCCCGUGUUGCUGCGGCUGUGGUGUAGGCCAGGAGCUGUAGCUCUGAUUUGACCCCUAGCCUGGAAACUUUCCAUAUUCCCCAAGUGCAGCACUUUAAAAAAAAAAAAAAAAAAUCGUUGAAGUAAUGAAAGUUAGAAUAGUAAAACUUAGAAUUAAGUAAACAUAAAGUUACAUUUUCAGGAAAACAGUUUCCUUAGUUUGAUCUGAAAACAUUGAAUGUCCAUUAAAGGGCAGAAUGCUGGUAGAUGUAUCUUUGUUGAUGAAGAUUAAAGGACAGUUUUUAGAAAGGAAAGAAAAUAAUCACAGCAGAAUUUUGAGUGCUAAGAAACCCUA